GAUAGAAUUGCAGGAUCAUAUGGUUAGUUCUAUUUUUAAUUUUUUGAGAAAUUGCCUUACUGUUUUCCAUAGUGGUUGUACCAUUUUGUAGUCCUCCAACAGU
rnacentral:pre_miRNA from 1 species